GACGAACGCUGGCGGCGUGCUUAACACAUGCAAGUCGAACGGAAAGGCCCUGCUUUUGUGGGGUGCUCGAGUGGCGAACGGGUGAGUAACACGUGAGUAACCUGCCCUUGACUUUGGGAUAACUUCAGGAAACUGGGGCUAAUACCGGAUAGGAGCUCCUGCUGCAUGGUGGGGGUUGGAAAGUUUCGGCGGUUGGGGAUGGACUCGCGGCUUAUCAGCUUGUUGGUGGGGUAGUGGCUUACCAAGGCUUUGACGGGUAGCCGGCCUGAGAGGGUGACCGGCCACAUUGGGACUGGGAUACGGCCCAGACUCCUACGGGAGGCAGCAGUGGGGAAUAUUGCACAAUGGGCGGAAGCCUGAUGCAGCAACGCCGCGUGCGGGAUGACGGCCUUCGGGUUGUAAACCGCUUUCGCCUGUGACGAAGCGUGAGUGACGGUAAUGAGUAAAGAAGCACCGGCUAACUACGUG
rnacentral:rRNA from 1 species